GCACGAGAGACGCGCGCACACGCACUGUAGAAGCGCGCUAAACAAGACACGCGGAAUAUAAUGGGUCACGUAUCGAUUUGAGUCUCAUUUCUGGACAGAUGUAAAUUCAUGAUGCAGGUUCUGCCUCCUUGUGGCCACGCGGUGCACGAAGACAUCCCUGAUAAAGUGGUAGAUGCUCUGGCUUGUUUUAUGAUCAGACACAAAUUUGCUGAAGCUCGAAAUGAAACUAAAAAGUUCCUCACAUCCGUUCAUGCGGUGAGUUGAGGGCUUCAAUCACUUUUCUUACAGAUUCAAUGAUCAACAUCUUAAAGGUGCAGUGUGUAAAUUUUGGCGGCAUCUAGUGGUGAGGUUGCAAAUUGCAACCAACGGCUCAGUCCACUGCUCACCCCUCGCUUUUGAAACACAAAGAGAAGCUACGGUAGCCAUCACCGGACAAACAUGUCAUCGUCGAGGAAACUAAGUAAAAAAGUUUGUCCGUUAAGGGCUUCUGUAGAAACAUGGCGGCACAAAAUGGCGACUUCCAUGUAAGGGGACCCUCGGUGUAUGUGGAUAAAAACAUCUCAUUCUAAGGUAGUAAAUACAUAACGAUUCAUUAUGAAAAGUCUUUAUACACCCCUAAUAAUAUAGUUUUGUAUAUUAUUUUGCAUUUCUGUCAAGAGAUCCUUCUAAAAAUUACACACUGCACCUUUAAAGUUUGAACUUCUCUUCUUCUUCUCAGAUGAAGAACAUGAAAAUGUUUCCUUACUAACAUUUCACAGUAAUUAAAACCAAGACUUCAACUUUCUACUUUACUCAUCUGACUGUAGGUUUAAGGUUUUGAAUGUACAAUAGUUGACUCAAUGUUAGAGAUUGAUGAAAGAUGUAAUGUAGUGGAAUUGUAUGAGGACAGAAUGGAGGACUAAACUGCAUGUUUGCAAUGUAACAUCAUUAAAGGAUUUCAA